ensembl:snoRNA Gm24357 predicted gene, 24357
UGAUGUUAUGAUGAUGGGCAAAAAUGUUCAACUGCUCUGAAUGAGCUGAAUGAAGCAGCCUUUCUGAACGUCC